rnacentral:rRNA from 1 species
CUGCUGCCUCCCGUAGGAGUUUGGGCCGUGUCUCAGUCCCAAUGUGGCCGGUCACCCUCUCAGGUCGGCUACUGAUCGUUGCCUUGGUGAGCCGUUACCUCUCCAACUAGCUAAUCAGACGCGGGUCCAUCUCAUACCACCUCAGUUUUUACACCAAACCAUGCGGUUUUGUGCGCUUAUGCGGUAUUAGCAGUCAUUUCUAACUGUUAUCCCCCUGUAUGAGGCAGGUUACCCACGCGUUACUCACCCGUCCGCCA